rnacentral:rRNA from 1 species
UACGUAGGUGGCAAGCGUUGUCCGGAUUUAUUGGGUUUAAAGGGUGCCUAGGCGGCUUUGUAAGUCAGUGGUGAAAUAUGGCAGCUCAACUGUCAAGGUGCCAUUGAUACUGCAGAGCUUGAGUACAGAUGAGGUAGGCGGAAUUGACGGUGUAGCGGUGAAAUGCUUAGAUAUCGUCAAGAACACCUAUAGCGAAGGCAGCUUACUAGGCUGUAACUGACGCUGAGGCACGAAAGUGUGGGGAUCAAACAGG